rnacentral:RNase_P_RNA from 1 species
UGAGCAGACUGUAUCGUAGCGCGGGGGAACCCGCGAGGAAAGUCCGGGCAUCAUAGGACAGGAUAACUGCUAACAGCAGCCGGGGGCGACCCCAGGGCCAGUGCAACAGAGAGAUACCGCCCGUUUCCGAAAGGGAGCGGGUAAGGGUGGAAAGGCGAGGUAAGAGCUCACCGGCGCAGGCGGAAGUCUGCGGCCAUGUAAACCCUAUCCGAUGCAACACCGACUGGAAUGUAUUCGCUGGUCCGGCGGUUCCGAAAGGUGGCGCUGAGCGUCCGGGCGACCGGGCGCCAAGAUAGAUUACGAUACUCGACAGAACCCGGCUUAUAGGUUUGGUCACACU